UACGUAGGGGGCAAGCGUUGUCCGGAUUUAUUGGGCGUAAAGAGCGUGUAGGCGGCUGGGUAGGUCCGUUGUGAAAACUCGAGGCUCAACCUCGAGACGCCGAUGGAAACCAUCCAGCUAGAGUCCGGAAGAGGAGAGUGGAAUUCCUGGUGUAGCGGUGAAAUGCGCAGAUAUCAGGAAGAAUACCCGUGGCUAAGGCGGCUCUCUAGUACGGUACUGACACUGAGACGCGAAAGCGUGGGGAGCGAACAGG
rnacentral:rRNA from 1 species